GUAUCAUCGUAAGGAUGGUGAUCAAUCUGGAUAGAUCGAUAUACAAAUCACUUCUUUUGAGGUAGAUGAGUCUCUAAUCUAUAGUAUAGAGAUACUGAGUGAUAAGUGCAGAUAGUUGUUAGAGAACAACUAAUACUGAGUGUGACCAUAUGAGAGAUCACAUGGAUUUCUAUUCAAUCAUCAGUGAUCAUCUUGAUACUGUAGUUAUGUGAGUGGUUCUUUGACCUGUGAUGGUA
rnacentral:lncRNA from 1 species